rnacentral:rRNA from 2 species
CAUGCAGUCGAGCGAGCGGAACAGCAGAAUCACUUCGGUGAGGACGCUGGGAAAGUGAGCGGCGGAUGGGUGAGUAACACGUGGGGAACCUGCCCUUAAGUCUGGGAUACCACUUGGAAACAGGUGCUAAUACCGGAUAAGAAAGCAGUUCGCAUGAACAGCUUUUAAAAGGCGGCGCAAGCUGUCGCUAAAGGAUGGACCCGCGGUGCAUUAGCUAGUUGGUAAGGUAACGGCCUACCAAGGCAGUGAUGCAUAGCCGAGUUGAGAGACUGAUCGGCCACAUUGGGACUGAGACACGGCCCAAACUCCUACGGGAGGCAGCAGUAGGGAAUCUUCCACAAUGGACGCAAGUCUGAUGGAGCAACGCCGCGUGAGUGAAGAAGGUUUUCGGACCGUAAAGCUCUGUUGUUGGUGAAGAAGGAUAGAGGUAGUAACUGGCCUUUAUUUGACGGUAAUCAACCAGAAAGUCACGGCUAACUACGUGCCAGCAGCCGCGGUAAUACGUAGGUGGCAAGCGUUGUCCGGAUUUAUUGGGCGUAAAGCGAGCGCAGGCGGAAGAAUAAGUCUGAUGUGAAAGCCCUCGGCUUAACCGAGGAAUUGCAUCGGAAACUGUUUUUCUUGAGUGCAGAAGAGGAGAGUAGAACUCCAUGUGUAGCGGUGGAAUGCGUAGAUAUAUGGAAGAAUACCAGUGGCGAAGGCGGCUCUCUGGUCUGCAACUGACGCUGAGGCUCGAAAGCAUGGGUAGCGAACAGGAUUAGAUACCCUGGUAGUCCAUGCCGUAAACGAUGAGUGCUAAGUGUUUGGGAGGCUUCCGCCUCUCAGUGCUGCAGCUAACGCAUUAAGCACUCCGCCUGGGGAGUACGACCGCAAGGUUGAAACUCAAAGGAAUUGACGGGGGCCCGCACAAGCGGUGGAGCAUGUGGUUUAAUUCGAAGCAACGCGAAGAACCUUACCAGGUCUUGACAUCUAGUGCCAUUUGUAGA